AGAGGUCAAGCCUGCCCAGUGACUAAAAUUCAACGGCCGCGGUAUCCUGACCGCGCGAAGGUAGCGUAAUCACUUGUUUUUUAAAUAAAGACUAGUAUGAAUGGCAUCACGAGGAUCAAACUGUCUCUUCUCUACAAUCAGUGAAACUAAUCUCCCCGUGAAAAAGCAGGGAUAAGACUACAAGACGAAAAGACCCUAUGGAGCUUUAAAUACAUAACUAUGCUUCUUCCAGGCACUAUAGUUAUAAAUUUUAGGUUGGGGUGACCACGGAGAAAAACCUAUCCUCCAUGACGAAUGAGCUUACUUUAAACUAAAAGUCACAACCUUAUGUAUCAACAAAUUGACCUACUGACCCAAUAAUUUGAUCAGCGAACCAAGUUACCCUAGGGAUAACAGCGCAAUCCACUUUGAGAGUUCAUAUCGACAAGUGGGCUUACGACCUCGAUGUUGGAUCAGGGUCCCCCAGUGGUGCAGCCGCUACUAAAG
rnacentral:rRNA from 1 species